AUAGAUUAAUCAAGAAGGAGAUCCAUCACAACGAUGAUAAAGAUAGACGCUCAUCAACAGAAAGUAUAUAAUAGUGUUUCUUAACUUAUAACAUUCUAUAGUGAAUAUGCUCUAAAUUUACAUUGCUAUCUAACCUAGCUUGUAUUUCAGAAAACCCGAAAAAGAGAUCCACUAUGAACGCCUACAACGCAACUAACUUCUGUGAGGAGGAAGGCAGUUUCGUGAGUUGGGACCCAUCGUUAUCAUGUAAAAAUUCUGAAGAAAGUUUUGACUCAAAACACUGGACCAGUAUUACGCGUUCGACACAAUUUAUCCGUUUAAUAGCUACUGAUGAGAACUUAACAUUGAAGCCGUUAUAGUGCAUAGGACUUGAUACGUAUGGAGACCUGUAUAUGUUUGUUGAACCAUCAUCUAUUAACUGCACUGAGUUAAGGCCCUUUUAUUGUAGAUAUGGGUCACGCCCACUGAUAAACAACGCAUCCAAUGAAUCACCAGAACACAAUGCUACCAUGGAACAGCCUGACAGCGGUCACAUCACUCGUUACAUUACACAAGGUAUGAUAGUUGGAAUUGUUGGAUCAGUAAUUAUUAUAAUACUGAUAACAGUUGUGAUUAUGGUUUUCAUGUUUAGGAGGUAA